GCAACUAACAGGCAAGUGGGAACAAGGUGUAUACAGGUCGCUGGGCAUGGCACUUGCAAGGCAGUGCUUAAUUUACCUGUAGGGAGCUGGAGCCCACCCAGCAUUGCUGAAACAAACACAGUAAUCCCCCCUGACCACAUAAAAGAACUACCAUCAGGGAAGGAUGGACUUUUAUUAGUAGACUACUUUGAAGGUUCCUUAUUAGUGUAAGAACUGCAGCCUCUCUCUCCCCAUAGGGAUUUGCAUAUUUAGACACAUUAAUAUAUAUUAAAUUUAUACACACACACACACAGGUGGGGCCCAACUUUACAGCAUUUCGUUAAUACAGCAGUUUUCAAUUAUACCCAUUCUUCAUUCAUUCAGACUUUCUACAGUAAAUAUAUUCACUCGCUAUAAGCUAAGGAAAAAAAUAUUUUAAGGUAAGUAAUGUGUAUAUUUAGCAACCACCCAGGGAAGCACUACCGUCCUACUAAGUGUAAAACGGAAACCUGUAAUUGUUUUACAUGACAGUAGAAUUCUUUACAUGACAGUAGAAUUCCUGGUGUCUUUUUUUUCCGUUUGAUAAACAUGCAAGAUUUCAAGUAUGCCUUGCUACUUCUGUUUACACUUAAGUCACACUACACAUGCAUGUACAAGCAUAUAUAUACACACCCCUCUAGGUUUUCUUCUAUUUUCUUGCUAGUUCUUGUUCUUGUUUAUUUUCUCUUAUCUCCAUGGAGAAGUGGAACAGAAUUCUUCCUCCAUAAGCCACGUGUGUUGUAAAAGGCGACUAAAAUGCCGGAAGCAAGGGGCAAGUAACCCCUUCUCCUGUAUACAUUACUUAAGUUAAAAAGAUACUUUUGUUUUUCUUUUUGGGCCACCCUGCUUUGGUGGGAUACGGCCAGUUUCUUGAAAGAAAUAACGUGUGUACUGUAUAUGCAUUUUUUUAGGCUUGCCUCUAUUGCUCGAUUAAUAUAUGAUAGCGUAAACAUGUUAUCAGGCUUUUAUAUACAUUUGAAAAUGAAGAAAAGGCUAUGUUUCACUUUACAGCGAUUUUUUCCAUUACGGCCAUAGCCCGGAACCUAACCUGUUGUAUAAGCAGGGCCUACCUGUAUGUGUUUGUGUGUACAAGUUCUUUUUCUUUUACUGAUUACAGUAUAUACAUAUAUGCUUGAUAAAAUUUACAUACAGGGAUACUCACGAUUUUAAGCAUUGCCAUACAUUACCUUUGACGAGUUUAGAGUCUUACUACUCUUGGAGCCUGGCUAUGGGCCAGGCUUGUCUGGUGCUUGGUUGAUUAACCAGGGUGUUGCUGCUCCACAUAUUCAUCACAGCCUGGUUGAUCUGGCAUCUUGUGAAGAUACUUGUCCAGUUUUCUCUUGAAGACUUCUACACUUGUUCCAGCCCUGUUUGAUAUGUUCUGGUAAGAUGUUGAAUAGUUUGGGUCACGAAUGUUGAUAGUGUUCCCUUAUUGUGCCCACCGCACCCCUGCUCCUCACUGGGUUUAUUUUGCACUUCCUCCCGUAUCUCUCACUCCAGUAUGUUAUGACAGUAUGCAGAUUUGGGACCAGGCCCUCGAGUAUUUGCCAUGAUGCUUAAAAUUUCUGAAUAUUAUCGCUUUAAAAAUACCUUCAUUAAAAACUGUACACAUUUACAGGAAUCCUUCAAAGUCACUUCCUCGGCAGACCAUUCGCAGGAAGUCACAGAGUCAACAGCGGAGACGGGCUGGCUCUAUAUCCUCCAGUGAAGGAGAGUCUCCAACUCGUAAAACUAUUAAACAGCAUCGCAAAGACAUUGGUGCACCAGUGCGCCGCCGGGCCAACAGUCUCGGUAGACUACGUCCAAAUGCAAACCCAACGGGAAAUGGGCCAUCAAGUACUACAAACAACAAACGCAGGCUGAGCAUCCCAGGUCGCAAAGGGCGAGCCAAAUCGCCUGAUGUGUUUGAUCAGAUUGGAUUUGCUCUCCACUACUGAGCCCCAAAAUACAAAAGUAUAAUAACUGUGCAUCAGCUGUGACACUGAUAGUGCAAAACGUGAGGUCUACUGUCAAGUGAAGUCAGAAACUCUUAUAAAACAAAUUAAUAUUCUUUAUUGUAUAUAAAAAUUAUAUACUUGUAAAUAAUGUAUGAUUGAAUGUACAAGGUCGUAGAUGUCAUUGUUAAUUUAAGAAUUCAUGAGCUGCCAUGAAACACUAAUAUUAACUGCUUAACAAUAUUGUUACUGGACUUUAUUUUAUAAACUAAUUAUUUUUGAGUAGUGAAUUCAAAAUGGCAGUUCCUAUUUUAUAUUACAUAUUUGGUCAGUAUUUUGGGUACUGAGUGUAAUAAUAUUACAAGUUAUUCCUUUUGUAAUAUAAUUAGAUAUUCUCUUCAUGGGGUGCAAUGACAAAAUGAGAAUCCACAUAAUUCUGUUUCUAUAUAUGGGUAAAAUUAGCCAAAAAAUGCAAUGCAUCAUGCAAAAUAACAUUCCUCUACCGAGCUAUAAAUUGGGCCUCAAAUGUGAUAAUUCUCUUGCCAAGUUUAUUACUAUUAUACAAAUUAUAAAUGUUUAUAAUUUUCUUUAUAUAUGUACAAUGUUUGUAUAUAUGUAAUAUUAGGAUAAUUCUUAAAAAAUAAAAAAAAAGCUGGCUGUUAUCACUGGAUAGUAUUUUUUUCUUUUGAACAUAAAGCUAUAAUAAAUAGGUUACAUUUUAUGGAUUUAGAAAUUAGUAUGAAUUGCUUUAACCCUUAAACUAUCCAAACGUAGAUCUAUGUUCUCUCGUGUAACGCUCCGAAUGUAGAGCUAUGUUUGGACAGUUUAAGGGUUAAUUUUUAUUGUUCAGUAAUAUUCCUCUUAACAAUAUCCAGAGGAAGUUACAACAGACUUAAGUUCAUCCUGGACUGUUAUUAAGUUGUGACAGAGGGAGAAAGCCAGACAGGUCAGGUUAAGUCAUGUGUUUUGAAAAUUAGAGCAUUUAAUAAUGUAUGUGGAAAGGCAAGCAUACACAAACAAAAUUGGUAUUAAAUUCAUGCUAGUGAUGUAUAUAAGGGAUGCUUCAGAGAGGAUCUAUAUAUGAUAUUAUUACAAUCAGAACUAAGCACUAAACUCGCCAGGGUCAUAUAGCACUGCUUUGUAUACAAUAGAAGUGGGAUAGUUUUGGCAGAAGACCAGCUUGAGGGAUGACUCUGAUCUCUGAACAUUACAGUAAAGUAUGUUGCAGGUGUCAAUGCUUCACAUGUCUCCAAGUGUAUAAGAAGGGAACAAAGUUUCAUGCUUGUAUUGGACAGGGCACAAGGAACAGAAACUGUAGUAGACAUUGUAAGUAUUGGUGGGAAAAGUAUUGACAAAAUUGUUACGAAGUGCAAGUUUACAAUUGAAGGGGCUGUAUAGUCCUUGUGGCUUAGCGCUUCUUUUUGAUUAUAAUAAUAAUAAUACAAUUGAAGGGACAGUGUGUUAUGACUGGUUAAUGGGUUUUCACAAGUGUGACACUGGAAGAACAUGAAAUCUGUUUAUCUUCUCAUUAACUGCUUACUCUCAUGAUAAACAAAAUCAGAUAAUGAAUUGAGAAGAAUGAAAAUUAAAGUUGACAAAUUGAGUAUCACAAUGAGGCAAUAAAGAAACAAGAAAACAUCUGACUAGUGUGCGGAUCCCCUCUUCCUUGCUAUAGAUUUCAAGAGAAACAACCAGUCACAGAGCAGUGGACAUGACUUCCAAGGAAAGGAAAUACCAGUAAUGUAAUUCCCAUAUAACUUUAGACCUGAUAGUUGGAAAGAUUGUUCUGAUUAACAAAAUUUUAACACAUCCGUUCUCCAGAUAUCAAACGUGUAUCUUGUCAAACUAACAGUUAUAGCAAUCUUGUUCAGGCAUCUCCCACCAAUACUUUGUCUGCUCUAUUUCUGACAGACUUGAAGAAUAUAAAAGUGCUCACUGUCAUGCAAUAACACCACUGUGUAAGCUGGUACUCUGUGAAUUAUUAUUAUAAUCAAAAAGAAGUGCUAAGCCACAAGGGCUAUACAGCGGUACUCUGUGAAACAUACCUAUUUCUCUUAUAACCUUUGAAGAAUCUAUCUGGCUGAAGUAGCCUUUUAUCACAAUAUUCCCCCAGAUUUUAAAUGACUGAAUAUCAUCAGCAGUGUGUUGCUCCAGCACGAAUCUUUAAGCCUUGGUCUGGUUUCUGUUGAUGCUUGCUGGUCCAUAUAUUGUCAGAUGCUCUGAACAUCAAAAUGCUUUGAUCCAACAUUGACUUUCUCACCUCAAACAGCCUUGUUUUCUGGUUUUCUCUCAUCUGUGCCUUGAUAAUGGUCCAGAAGAGAUUGAAGUGUCUUCUAUGAUUUCUUCUUGGAUUUGUUGGUUCAUAAUUUAUUACUCCAGUCGUGGUAUUGACUUUUAUUCAGGAAUACUUUAUUUUGUACCAGUAAUUCUUAAAAUAAUAAAUUUAAUAUCACAACAUACAUAAUAUAUUUUCAAUGUUAAUGUCAUAUGUCAAAUAUAUUUAUUCUAGUC